AGUGAACGCUGGCGGUAGGCCUAACACAUGCAAGUCGAACGGCAGCUCAGUAAGAGCUUGCUCUUACGGGUGGCGAGUGGCGGACGGGUGAGGAAUACAUCGGAAUCUACUUUUUCGUGGGGGAUAACGUAGGGAAACUGACGCUAAUACCGCAUACGACCUACGGGUGAAAGCAGGGGAUCAUCGGACCUUGCGCGAAUGAAUGAGCCGAUGUCGGAUUAGCUAGUUGGCGGGGUAAAGGCCCACCAAGGCGACGAUCCGUAGCUGGUCUGAGAGGAUGAUCAGCCACACUGGAACUGAAACACGGUCCAGACUCCUACGGGAGGCAGCAGUGGGGAAUAUUGGACAAUGGGCGCAAGCCUGAUCCAGCAAUACCGCGUGGGUGAAGAAGGCCUUCGGGUUGUAAAGCCCUUUUGUUGGGAAAGAAAAGCAGCAGGUUAAUACCCCGCUGUUCUGACGGUACCCAAAGAAUAAGCACCGGCUAACUUCGUG
rnacentral:rRNA from 1 species